GAGGACGAUGCGCCGAAGAAUCAGAUGAAGCGUCGAGGGACCAAUGACAUGCCGGACAACUUGGUUAAUUGCUUAGGAUUAAUUGUCUCGAUCGAAGUUUUGUUUUAAGUGUGCAAGAUUAACUACGAUGAAAGUAAGACAUGCAGCAGGAGUUGCGCCGGAAUCAAGACAAUGAUCACAUUGGGAGUUCGAGAGUUCGACGGAAGUUCGGACAAUCGUCGGAGGUUCUGCG
rnacentral:lncRNA from 1 species